rnacentral:misc_RNA from 1 species
CGUAUUUUUACCUUUAUAAACUUUGACCUUAAAAUGGCUACGCGCUGCAGAAUGUUCGCUAAGAAGUCAAUAUUCAAUGUUUAUCGGCAUUUAAAUUAUCUCUCUUGUAUUAAUAAGGGGAACUUGCCCAAUGUUGUAUCGGUGUGCUUUGGUCAGAAAAGAUGUGCAUCAACUAUGGAAGAUAUUCAUAAAUCUUUGCCCACUGCAGCAAAGUAUGGUGGUAGACACACAGUGACUCUUAUUCCUGGUGAUGGAAUUGGUCCAGAACUCAUGGUACACGUCAAAGAUGUAUUCAGGUAUGCUGGGGCGCCAAUAGACUUUGAAGAGUUUCUUUUGAGCGGUGAAAGAGAAGAUGCUGAAUCGGUAGAGCAGGCAAUAAUAGCAGUGAAAAGAAACGGAGUAGCACUCAAAGGCAACGUCCACACCAACCUGGACACACUUCAAAUUAAUGACAAGUCAGAUAAUGUUACUCUUAGGAAAAACUUGGAUCUGUUUGCAAAUGUUAUUCAUUGUAAGAGCUACCCGGGGAUUAAAACAAGGCAUGAUGAUAUUGAUAUUGUUGUCAUCCGGGAAAACACUGAAGGAGAAUAUUCAAGUCUAGAGCAUGAAAAUGUUGAUGGUGUUGUAGAAAGUUUAAAGAUAAUUACUCAUGCCAAAUCAAAACGAAUAGCUGAAUAUGCUUUUGAUUAUGCGAGAAGCAACGGAAGGAAGAAGGUUACCGCAGUCCACAAAGCAAAUAUUAUGAAGCUUGGAGAUGGGUUGUUUUUGCAGACGUGUCGAGAUGUUGCCUCUGCGAAUCCAGAUAUUGAGUUUGAAGACAUGAUCGUGGACAAUUGCUGUAUGCAGAUGGUAUCCAAUCCAAGUCAGUUUGAUGUCAUGGUGAUGCCAAACCUUUACGGAAACAUAGUCGGCAAUAUUGGAGCUGGACUUGUUGGGGGCCCAGGAAUCGUUCCUGGACAGAAUUUAGGCGACAGAUAUUCUGUGUUUGAAACGGCCACCAGAAACACAGGGAAGACCAUAGCUGGUCUUAACAUGGCCAACCCAACUGCAAUGCUUCUGGCCAGCUGUCAGAUGCUGGACCAUCUAAACCUCAACCAGCAUGCUGCCCUCAUUAGAAAUUCUGUCAUGGAGACGCUCACAAAGAAGGAGAACCACACACCGGAUCUUGGUGGACAAGCAACAACAAGAGAAGUGAUACAAAGUAUCAUAGAUCAGAUUGAACUCACUGGUAAAGGGUCGCAUAUGUAAACUGGCUGAAAUAAAAUAGUAUAAUAAUUUAUAGAUAUGAAACUUUAUGGUAUGUAUUUUAGUGAUAACCUAUGUGCAUACAAAUAUGAAAUUGCAUAGAGUACAGAAGUGUGACGUCAUGACAGACAAUCGCGGUCUGGUUGAAGGAACCGGCUCCGAAUGCUACAAGCCUGUAUUGUGGAGUUCUCAAUGUAUUUAAUGACUGGGCAGUACAGAUGGGCACAAAAGAGAUUCAAAAUCAUUACUUUCCUGAACACAACAUUGAUGUUGAGUAGAAUCUACUAUCUGCGUUUAAUGCCACAAUUUAUAAGGCCACCAUAAUGUUUAUCCAAGUAAAUGUUGCCCAGGAUGAAUUACAGGCGUUUUCGUGAACGGAGAAGUUAAAGUGGAGAAAGCGAUUCGGUAAAUCUUUCUGUGUGCGUGCAACUACCACAAAGUAUACGCAAUUAGAUGGACCACUAUGCGUAAAAUCCUACUUGUAUGUCGUUGCUUGGUAAAACAUAAUUCGUAUUUAAAUCCAAAGUUGGAACGGCAAUGGGAUUGCCCAAGGUAAAGUUAAUCUUUGUCUUCACGAUCAAAUAUCUUUCAAUGUAAAACACGGCUUUAGUGAUGGUGUUUAAAAAUAUACAAUCUCUGUCUGGUAAAUUCUAUAGAAAUCCUCAAGCAAUUUUAUCUAUUACUAAUAUUGCCCAAAGCCCCACUGGUGGAGCAAAACAGAAUGGAAUCAUGGAUAUACAGUGAUUGCGAUAUUACCAGACGAUAUUUAUAUUUAUUUUUAGUUUAAAUUGAUUUGUCUAAUAUUUAAAAUGAAAAUGAAUGAGAAUGUUGAUUAAUGAUAUAAAAAUAUAUAUAGUAUCAUUGCAUGUAUUAAGAAAUAUAGAGCACACUCGUACAUUAUUUAGUUCUGUAAAUUUAUGUUUUAAAUAUUAUAUUAGAUAUCACCUAAAACAAAUAAUAUAACAACAGCAUACAUAUCGAGAUGUAGGGCUACACAUUAAACUUUAAAAACAGUAUCCUGUCAUAUUUUGUACCGUGCCAAUUUUAUAUUAAAUUGAUGCCUUUUGCAAAGCACAA